rnacentral:lncRNA from 1 species
CCCAGCCGCGCGCCCGUCAGGGCGACCGAGAGGUCCCGUCCCCCCCCCCCCGCGGCGGGGCGGGCUGGCGUGCGGCCGGCGCCUCGCCGGGGUUCCGUCCCCUUUCUCCCACCAAAGUGUCUGGAGGUUUCCUUGCCUCGCGGCUCCCCCCGCCCCUGCAGUGAGAAGCCCCCAAACCAGCAAUUCCUUCCUCUGGUUUAGGUUUGUUGGGUUGUUUGGGUUUUUUUUUCACAUUUCAAAAGGCAAAGCGGAAGAAGGUAACGGCAGAGGCGCAGCAGUGUGAAGCAGGAGGCUGAAUUUCGGCUCGGGGAUGUGAAACGUUCAAGGAGGAACCCCGAUGGUGGGCAUUAAUAGCCUCCCUCAGAUCCACGGGGACGAAACUUCAAAAUGGGUCCUGUUUGGGGGUGCGGUUUGAAGCAGGUUUUUGGAGGCGUGGGCCCAUGGGAGACAACGGCAGCGCAGCACAGCUCUGUCGCCGAAGUGUUCACGUGCUUGCUUCCAAAGCAAAUGUCUGGACAGUCUGGGUUCUAGCCACCACUGUUUAUGUUCAUGUUUUAACUCAAAGCCCUUAACAUAGAUAAUAAUUUAAUUACAGGUUUCAUUGCGAUAGAUGUGCAGAAAGGUGUCAUAAUGUUCAGAUUUCUGACUUCAAGUGUAUUUACCAGUAUUUACCACAUAUAGUAUCAACAUUAUAUGUGAAUGCAAUUAUGUCAUUCCAGUUUUAUUCCAAAGUAUGGUAUGUCCGUUUUCACAUUGUUUUGCUAAUCAAAGAUCAAGCUAGUGAAGGAUUCAGUGUACUGAAUUCAGUGUUAUAUACUGUAUAACAGAAAGUCACAAAAUGCUUCAGCAAGGAGUGACUGAAAUUCUGGAGCAGGCUGUUACAGAACAGUAUCUUUCCAGCAGAAGUUUCAUUCUACUGUGAUCAUUCCUCUUAAUAAAACAUGAAUCCUGUUAAUAAAGCAUACCACAUCGUCGCAUCACCCAGCCACUAGCUAUGUUCAGGGAUGACUGGGCUACUUACUGCUGGAGAAAUCCAGCUGCUAGCAUAGUGAAGAAACCCACCAUUGGUAGAUGCUGGUGCUCUCUAUCACACCAAACUCCCCUCUGAGCUACAGAAAAUGCAAGUACAAGCUGCCUGUCUAUCAAGGGUAGAAGAGAACACAGAUGCUCUGAUUCACCCAUAAAACUCAAACAGAAACCACGUUUGUGUCCUGGGGUGCUAUAAAACCAUACUGAAAGUUAGUAGUCUCUCUGACUCUGCUGCCUGGGGAGAUAGGAUAACUCCCCUGUCACAUCACUGGACUAGCAGCUUCUCUAGUGUAGUUCAGAGGCUGAGAAAGCCCUCUCAUACAUUAGAAAUGUAAGGCCCUCACAGAGCUGUGUGAAUCACUGACAUUUUCUGGUAGGAGACAUGAAAUUGAAAUAAAGAGGUUUUGUGUUAAUGGCAGCCUAUUUUUCUCUGAGCUUUUUGGUUAACUAAAAAAAUUCUUUUAUUACUGACUGUGCUGGGUUUAAACCACGACACUGACACAUUUCCAAUGAAAUGCUGAAGUGCUCCAAACACCGGAAGACAAGGAGAUGGUGGCAGGCUCGAGGAAGAUGACAGCCUGGUGGCAGCCAGUGGCCAGAGAGGGGGACCACUGUACUCUUGUCUUUUACCCAGUGAGUGUAAAUGACAUUAGACAAAAAUUGUAGCUUCAGUGAAAAGCAGCAAUAGCUCACAAGAGUGCUCCAGUGCCCUGAGAGUGGCAUAUGCUGAAUGGCAUAUGGCAAAGAGGAGAUUUGACGCUGGGGCUCUGCUGCUCUAAUCACUGAGCUCUAGACCUCCCUCUAGAAGGGAAGUAUGAGUCUGGGGAAAGGGAAACACCCACAUUUGGCACUGUUACUAAUAUCAAGACUAUAAAAUAUUUUCAUCACCAAAAAGAAAUAACUGAAAGUGACUCAAAUACACAGAAAGUUUCAAGUUGACUGAAAGGAUUUUUUUUCGGAGUAGUCUUAUGUCAAAAUCACAAACAUUUUUACAUCAGUCUUAGAAGAAAAUGUUAUUCCUCUCAAAAACAAAGUAUAAAUUGCGCUGAAGAACCUCAAGUCCUGAGAAGCAGGGUAAAUAAGAUCAGUUACUAGGCAAUACUUGUCCUGACAAACCUGUUCUGCUCUGGCAUGCCUAUAGCAUGAGCUCACAGUACAGUGAACGGAGGAGGUGGUGGUGAGGAAGAGUGGAAUGAACCAGGGCAGCGUGGGAGCCAGUAAACAGUUACAUACAGAGAACAUGAAAUAGAAUCAAGGCUGUGUCACCCUGUCAGCUGAAUAUUGAGUAGCAAUAGGGAACUGAUUUGUCUUUCAGGAUUUUUCUUCAAAUUUGACACGAGUAUAAAUUAAGUGGUUCUAGCAAGUCUGAAGUCUGACUGAUCUGUCCUAAAUUAUGCAUACAUGAAGAUAGCCAUAAGUGUGAGAUUCUCUGAAUUCACCUGCAUUAAGGUUCCUGCCACAUUUAACUGUUCCCAUGAAUAUUUUUUUAAUGAAACUGAGAAGUAGAAUCCUUCAUAAUUUGCUGUAUCUGUUAAAUGAAUGUUGCAACAUAAUACAUUUCUUGUAGAAGAAAAUGUAUCUGAAUGAUUGUUUCUGAACACUCAAUUUGUGGGCUUUUGCAAAUGUUAAUAUAAGGUCAUCUAGUGGCUCUGAUUGAAUGUCAUGCCCCCAUGGGCAGGCAGAAUGUGGAGUUAGAAGAAUCACAUCCUCACAGACACCAACACAAACGUAGUUAAGUUGAGAAGACGUCAUAUGGGUUGCCAUGUGUUCUGCUUCCAGUGGGUAAGGUGUUCUAUUUUGGCUAAAGGGAAUCAUCUAGAUUUAGGUCAAAUAAUGUGAAUCUUACAAAAACUGAAACAACACAGCCUGACUUUAUAGAAAAAAGUAAUCUUUGAAGAGGAGAUUCAUUCCCAUCUUAAUGUGGUAGGAGGAUGAAGAUGUGAUAGGAGAGUACAGACAUAUUUAGGUCUUUAAAAUUUAUCACCAAGCAAACUGGUGACAGUAGAAAUAUUGCUGUGGAAGAAAAAGACUCAGCGAAGUCUGUGUCCGUGCCAUUUCCAAUAUCCUGCCUGGCUGCAUUCUACUUGAGAGGGAGGGGAGAAGGAUUGAGAUUUAGUGGCUUCCUGAAAAAGAUCAUUUUAUGCUGUUAACUCAGUGGUGCAACACUGUCCACAAAGGUUAAGACCGCUGAUCUGUGAUAGCAAAAGAAUGAAUGUGCCUGGUUUGGGGGCUAUAUUUAGGGGAAGGUUUACGUCACGGAGUAGUGUUAGUUAGAAUCAAGAAAGCUUAUAUGCAUGGUCAGGCAUAAUUUCUUUCUCGAGUGAGUCAUGCCUUGUUCAGCGUAAAUGUAAUUUUCCUUGGAGUUGUAAUAAGUAUUCAUAUUUAACCAAUGAUUUCAGUGUCUGAGUGGAAUAACUGAUAGAUAACUGUUUUAA